UGGGUAACCCACCUCGAUGACCGGGACAACCCGAGGAAACUCGGGCUAAUACCGGAUGUGAUGACUCCUUGUAAGGGGAGUUAGGAAAGAUAACUUCGGCCUUCGCAUCGAGACGGGCCCGCGGCCCAUUAGCUUGUUGGUGGGGUAAUGGCCUACCAAGGCUUCGAUGGGUAGCUGGUCUGAGAGGACGAUCAGCCACACUGGGACUGAGACACGGCCCAGACUCCUACGGGAGGCAG
rnacentral:rRNA from 1 species